GUUGUGUACCAUUUUUAAAAGUGGUGUGUGUUACUUGUGCGGUAGCCAGCUAACUUUGGACUGUGCAAUGUACGGACGACGUGUGUGUUGUGGCUGCCCGAUGACUCCGCCGCGGAACGUGACAGAUCCCGGGCUGUCAGCCUCACAUCAGACACUGACAGUCAAGAUGAUGAUGAUGAUGAUGAAAACGGAACACGAGGAAACGGAGUGACUGGAGCAAGCCUGAGAAAACUAGCAAUGUGUAGGAGGUAAAGAGGAAGAGCCACCGUGCUCUUCAUCCCCAAGUUGAGAUUAAUCCAGCCAGCCCAAAUAUGAGGCUCGGGGGCAGCCACCAAGAGCUCAGCAUGGAGUCGACAGACAAGGAAAAGGUGGCUGAAAGCACAACAGAGUGUACUGAUAGCUUCUAGAGGGAUAUCACCAUGGACAUGAUGUCUGAUGAAGAGGGAUGUCUGUGUGGAUGGUGAGGCCUCCAAACUCACAACCAUGAACUGACACACUUCAGAGAUGGCUGGAAACCAAUCCCAAGUACAUGGCCGCUCAUCACAGCCCUGUGCACAGUGGGGAGAUUUCACACUGGAAGCGGCCUACCAAUUAUAACCCAGAGGCUGCAAAAAGGUGUUUUAAGCCACAUUUGAUACCUUAGUUUUGCCCAUACAGGGCUCCAGAUACUGACUGAAAUGGUCGCCACUUUUUUUAUUUUGCCACUAGUUUUUUCCUGCCAGUUGCGAAGCAAAGGCUAUUCAACCAAGCCCUGCUUGUUGAAAUAUUAUAUCAGCCUCUGACAUUUCUUAGAGUGUUUUUCUCAUGCAAGCAGCAGGCAGCACUCCCCCAUUCUCUGUUUAGAAGAAAAGCUGUGGUAUAGCCACUGUGGAGACGGUUUUCCUGUCAUGUCCUGCCUGCUGGCCUGAGAUGGGGGCAGCACUACAGUUACCCUUUACGAGUAUGUUGCUUGUUAAACUGUACACAUGAGGACUUCAGGGUAGAUACCUCUCCCCAAAUACUGAUGGGAGCAUCCACCUGUUUCUUACUACUUGCAGUUUGCACUGUUUUGCUUUUUGUUUUUCAUUGACUGCUCUGGGAUGUAGUCAAGUGUUACCAAGUCACUGCUUGGCUCAGUCAAGACAACCGCCAUGCUAGCUCCAUUUGCAGAACAUUUGCAGUAUUCAUUUUUCUGUUAUUUAUUUUACCGAUAUUAUUACAUGUACAAGAGUGCAGAAGACAUCACAGACAAUGGGAGGCAGAGCAGACAACAGCAGGCUAAAUGGAUAGGGCAGAGAAAUUGUGAGGUAGAACAGUGAAACACAUAUAAAGGAAAUGCAACAUUAUACACACGCAUAGAUAGAUAUAUUUUGGCUCCUAAAUUUUAUGAAGCUCCUAAAAUUCUGGAUCCCUGCCUGUAUUUUUCAGACUUUUGUUCCAGACCAAGUUAGCUCUCAUUCAGCCGUGGACCCUACUAAGCUAUUUAUGGACCUGAUAUGAAAAGAAUUUGUUGUAUUAACUUGUCCAAUUGCCAAGAACAGUGCUUCAAGUACUUUGAAAAUUUUCACUUGUUUAGUGUUUCUGACAAUAAAAUUGU